UUUGGAUUGUGUUAUCUUAUUGUCGACUGAACCGGAUAUUAAAGGUUGUCCGGCUGUUCAGCUUUAUAUCAUCCCUCGCCAAAGAACCAGAACUCAAUAAAGUUCAUGUCGCCGCCUUGAAUUAUUUCUGCAUCAUAGUCAUUUUUAUUCACUCAACUGCCUGUGUAUGGUAUGCUUUGGCCUGUACGCCUGUUCAUCAUUAUGAGGGAAGACACUGCUCAGAAAGAACAUCUUGGCCGUUCUUGUUAAUUAACAGUAUGACUUUUCAAAUUCUUCAAAAACAUU